GUGCUCACUUUGACAGCACAUAUAAUAAAACUGGGACCACACAGAGAAGGUCAGCUUGCCCCCUGUGUGUGGACGACACGCAGGCUCAUGAAGCGUCCCAUCUUCUG
ensembl:snRNA U6 U6 spliceosomal RNA